rnacentral:rRNA from 2 species
GAGCACAGCGGAACUCCGUGUGUCCCGCAGAAAUGAGCAGAUAUAUGGUAGAGCACCAGUGACGAAGGGUGUCUGUUUGGUUUGUCUCUGACGCUGAGGCUCGAUCAUAUUCAUAGCCAGCACAAUCAGAUACCCUCGUAGUCCAUGCUGUAACCGAUGUAUGCUCAGUUUUGGAGGGUUUACGGCGUUCAGUGCUGCAGCUAAGCCAUCAAGCUUUCCACUUGGGGAGUCCGUUCUCAAGUCUGAAACUCGAAUGAAUCAUCAGGGUCCCGCACAAGCGGUGGAGCAUGUGGUUUAAUAUGAAGCUGCGCGAAGCUCCUUACCAGGUCUUGACAUACUAUGCAAAUCUGAAAGAUUAGGCGUUCCCUUGGGGGACAUGGAUCCAGGUGGUGCAUGGUUGUCGUCAACAUGUGUCGUGAGAUGUUGGGUUAAGUCCAGCCGCGACCGCUCUCCUCAUUAUCAGUGUCCAUCCAUAAGUUGGUCGUUCUGGGGAGACGAUUGGUGACAACCCGCAGGAAGGGGGGGAUGGCGUCAAUUCCACAUCCCCCGUAUCCCAUGGCCCUCUCAGGUGGUACAAGGGACGGUACCACGAGGAGCGGUCUCCCCAGAGUAAACUAAUCUCUUAAAGGCAUUCUCAGUUCGGAUUGUAGGAAGCCACUUUCAUACAUGAAGUCGGAAUCUCUAGUGAUGUCGGAUCAGCAAGCCUCGGUGAACACGU